CAAGACUACAAUCAAAAUGGUUGCAAUAAGAUCAAUUAGCAUGAAAAAUUGCUAGUGAUUUAUAAAAAAGUAAAUUAAGCAGUCAAAUUUCUGAUUCUAAUUAUUACAUCAGGAGUUGAUUGAUUUCAAUUAAUGGUCGAUAUAUAAUUGGAGAAAUAGUUUGAAAGAGCUGAAAGUAUGCAAAACUUUGAUGACCUUGAUAUAGAGGGGCGCAAUCCGUCUCAUCUAUCAGAAGAAGAACGAGAAAAGGAAGAAAGUGAUCGUAAAAGAUUGAUGCGCUGCAGUGUAACUGCAGAAGAUGGAACACUUCGACCAGUAUAUUCUCGGACAGAAGAUGGUGAUAUUUGGUGUCAUAUUUGUAAUAUUGCACUAUUUGGUUCACAUAAAUUACAAUCACACAACACAUCAAGUAGACAUAAGAUAAAAUUAGAUGAGUGGCCAUAUCCAGUGUCAUUAUGGUCAAAGAGAGAUACCAUGAAAGGUUCAAUGCAAUCAAUUUCUUCAUUAAAUGAUUCUUUGGCACCUGGAGAACCUGUUCCUCCGGGCAUGGAAGAUCAAAUAACUCGCGCAACGCAGAUCCAAACGAGCCUGGAUCGUCAUCAAAGCUCUCCAUUAGUUGGACUUGAAUAUUUAUUGGAACUUAUUGACAAUGAUUCAUGUGAACCAAGUUACACCUGUGUCUUAUGUGAUAAACGUGGUGAUCCACGUACCGUCAUGGCUCACAUCACAUCAUACAAUCAUCGAAUCACUUAUUUAAAUAGACAUUUCCCGACAAUAUCACGUGCUAUUACGGAUUUACCGCGUACUCCCAAUUAUAAACGUGGCGCCAAUGAAAUUUCCGUUCUAGUAGCCAAGAAAAUUGAAGAAAAGUUUGGAAGACUUCAUCCACAACUUGUGGAUAAGAACCAGUUUGAGAAGAAUAAACUUCAAUUUAUUAAAAAUGUUUAUCAGGACUAUCAUUUUAGGGAAACGCCCGAGUUAACAUUUAUGGAAGUUUAUGAUGUGCGUUGGGUGACAAACUUUGAAGAAAAAUUGGCAGAAAUGACUGGUGAAUCAAAAAAAGAUGAGAAUAUUGACGAAAAACCUAAGAAAGAAGAUAGCAUGGAGAAAGCCUUUCCUAAAAAAAUUGAACCAGAUACUAGUAAAUCAGGAAUGAAAAUUCGCAUCAUGACAAAGGAAAAAUUAUCCAAAAAAGCCGAUAAAGAAAUGAAAGGUCCAGCAGACGAUACAAAAUCUUUAUCAUCUCUUUCCAGCAUUUCUAGCAGUCCUUCACCGUCUAGAUCACGUUCACGAUCUCAUAGUCCAAUUCGAACUCGCGAAAAAUCAUCAAAACAUCGAUUGAGCAAUAAAUCAUCUCGGUACGGUCGGUCCCGGUCGCGAUCACGUUCAAAUGAACCACUUCGAGAACGCGAUAAAUGGGAUAAAUUUCGCGAACAAAUUCGUAGAGCUGAAGAAACACUUGAUCGUGCUUUGAAAUUCCAUGAAAAAAAUCCAGAAAAACAUCCAGCAUAUCCAGAUGAAUGGAAAAAAUUCUGGAAUCGCCGAUAUAAAGAACUACAAGCUGAAGGUAAAGAUCCAAGUAAACAUGAUUUUAAACCAGAGUGGAUUGAAUUUUGGAAUAAAAGAAUGCGUGAAAUUCACAAUGAGCAACUUUCUCAAAGAAAAGAAGAAAUAAGGAAACGGUUAGAGCUUCCAGAAGAUAAACCACCAGAAACUAAAUGGGUUCCACCACCAAAAAGAGAUAAAGAAGAGCGUAGUUCUCCAAGUAAAAGGUCUAGACAUCAUGUAGAAAGUGAUGAUGAUGUAGAAUAUGUAGGAACUAAGAUGAUAAAACCUGAACGAAGUGAAUACCGAGAGAGACAUGAACGUGAAAUAGUUAGAGAUAGAGAAUAUGGAUAUUUAUAUCGAGAAAAGCCGUCCUAUCGAAGCUAUUAUGUUCCAUCAGUGCGUCCGCCAAUGCCUAGGCCACGCCACUAUACACCGUAUACUGUAAAAGAAAAAUCGCCAAGCCCUGCCAAAGAUGAUAACCUGAAAGAAGAUCUUGAAAUUGUUGGACUUCUUCGACUUUUGACAGCACUUGAAGCUCAAUUAGGUUCAUUGGGUCCUAAAGUUGUCUCUUUACUUUCAAAGGCACUUGCUGCCGAAAAAGCCAAGCCCAAUUCCGCCGAAGAGCUUUUAUAUGAUGAAGAGGUAAGCGUUCUAUUUGAGACAGUCAAAGAAAAACUCAAGGGACAACUUUUUGCUGGAAUGAUUGAGAAGGUAGCAAUUGCUGCGACGAAAUCUGCCAUUCAGAAUAUUGCUCAGUUACUUCAUAAAGCGACUGAAGAAAAGAAAAAAAGAGAAGAAGAAGAAGAAAAAAAGAAAAAACAAGCUCAAGAGAUUGCAAGGUCUAUUGCAGCUUUUUCGUCAAGAUCUCUCUUUCCAACUAUCAGAUCAGAGCCUGUCAGUGUUCCUGGUAUUGGAGCUAUUGAUAAAGUAGCUAUAGCUCAACAAAUAGCGGCAGCUCUUAUUGCUCAAGGAAGAACUAAUGUUUCCCAAGAUGAGUUAGAAACUCUAAUUAAUGCAGUAGUUGGUAUGGCUGAAGCUUCACAACAUAGUGAUAAACCAGUUACAGCUGCUAGUUUUGUGAAAAGUUUAACAAUUAAAACACAGCCUACCAUAACAGAAGUUAUAACACCAGUUACUACAAGCUCAAUUUCAACUACUCCUAGCAUUCCAGAACCGCCAGUAGUUGAGAGAGUUAAAGAAACACCAAUCAUACCACCAAAAAUCAUUGAUCCUAUUGAAGCUCAUGCUGCAAGAAUGGAAAAAUUAACUGAUAACGAUCUUAAAGAUCUUCUUCAAAACUUUAAGGAAUUAGGAACUGAUGAACAACAUGGACUAAUCAAUUUCCUGAAAAAGUUAGAAGCUUCCGAUCCUGCGAGAGUAGAAAAGUUAAGAGGAUAUGUCAAUUUAGGUGGAUCAAGUAGUCAAAGAGCUGAAACACCUGUUAAAGACGUCGAAGAAAUUCCCGUUAAACCUUCGAGAAGUGUUUCACCAUUUGCGUCAAGAAAAGGAGCUCAUAAUCCUAUUGACGACGAUCAUCAAAAAUGGAAACCGAAACUUGAUAUUUUCGCUGAUGAAGAGGAAGAUAAAAAACGAAAAGAAGAUGAGAGAAAUAAAAAAAUAGAUCUUUCCGAUGAUGACGAUGAUUAUUCUUUUGAAGAUAUUUAUAAAGCAGCUGAUAAGAAUGUUUCAGAAAAUGAAAAAGCCAGGAGAUCUAAUUCGUUAUCAAGAUCGUGGUCUAGAUCUAGAUCUAAAUCACCUUUAUCGAAGAAAGAAGCUAAAGUUAAUGAUCCAACAGCUAUUUUAAACGAGACAAAACGGCUUAUUGCUAACAUAAUGGGCGAUUUGCCUAAUAAGUAUGUCGUGAAGUCUCAUAAUCCUCAAAAAGAACGACAAAAUUCACUUAAUGUUGAUCUAGCACCUCCUGGAUCUACCAAUGUUUCAAUUCCUCCAUCUACAAAUUAUCCAACGAGUUAUCCACAUGUAAAUCAACAGAAUCCAAUAUCUUAUCCCAGCAAUUUAAGUAAUCAGAACUUCUCUAAUUAUCAACAACCUCCGCAACAGAGUUUUAAUCAUCAAGGAUAUAUGAAUAAUAUGCCAAGUAAUAUGAAUAAUAUGCCUAGUAGCAUGUCUAGUAUGAAUCCUAAUGUAGGAUCUAUGUCUAACAUGAAUAAUGGAUAUAAUAAUUACAAUCAACCACCAUACAAUAAUUUAAAUAAUCAAAAUCAAUAUGGUGGGCCUGGUAUGCAACAAAAUCAAUAUCCAUCUCAACAAGUGUAUGGCGGACCUCAAUAUGGCGCACCAUCAGCCCCUAUUGGAUAUCCACAACAAAGUCAAUAUGGAAAUUAUUCACAACGGUUUUAUUAAAAAAUCACCCUUAACACGUAAUCGAUGAAAAGGGCGGUAAGAGAUAUUUUUUUUAAUAUACGAAUUAUUUUGUAAACUACAAAAUAGUUUAAUAACAACAAUAAGCUAUUUUUAUAUCAAAUUCAUUUUUUUAUGAAAAAAUUUUCAUUGUUUAUUUUUAAAAAAAAAAAAUAUGCUGAAAAUGUUUGUUAACAUUUAAUGAGCUUUUUUUAAGAAAACGUUCUUCAUAACUGUAAAAACAUAAAAAAAUUCUAUAUUUACUUUUACUCUUAGGAUCUUUUAUCAUCAAUAGUUACGUUAAAUUCAAUUGAAACAAUAUCUUUAAAAUAUUUCGGAUCAUCAUCAAUUCGUUGAAACUUGAUUUAAAAAAAUGAAAUGUUAUCUCGACUGCUGAAAAUAUAACGUUUGUGUGAUCAGAAUUUCUUCUGUCUAUAAGUAACUAAUAUGUACAGUGGUGUGGUAAAAAUUGUUUAUAAAUAAUAGUGGAUUCAAUAGUGACAAUAUCAUAUGGUUUUAAUUAUAAACAAUAAGUGCAGAACAGAGUGAAAAGAAGAACGUAAGAAUUAAGAAUCAGAGGCCGUCAUAAAGGUGAACAGUUUUUUUAAAAUUAGUUAUCAUUAGUAAUAGAAGAUAUUCGUCUUCUGUGAUUUUUUUUUUUUUUAGAAAUAGAUAUCAUUUUUAAACAGCAAAGUGUUAUGUAUUCAUUGUAAUUAAUUAAUCAUUAAUGAUGAUUCAUUAGUAAUUACAACUACUGUUAUUAUACUCACUACUAGUAUCUUUUUU
rnacentral:misc_RNA from 1 species